rnacentral:rRNA from 1 species
CAGUAGCCACGGGAAUACGGAGGGGGCUAGCGUUGUUCGGAAUUACUGGGCGUAAAGCGCGCGUAGGCGGCUUGGUAAGUUAGAGGUGAAAGCCUGGGGCUCAACCCCAGAAUUGCCUUUAAGACUGCCGAGCUAGUAGGUGAGAGAGGUAAGUGGAAUUCCGAGUGUAGAGGUGAAAUUCGUAGAUAUUCGGAAGAACACCAGUGGCGAAGGCGGCUUACUGGCUCAUUCUAGACGCUGAGGUGCGAAAGCGUGGGGAGCAAACAGGAUUAGAUACCCCUGUAGUCCCUGUCUCUUAUAC